rnacentral:rRNA from 1 species
CAGGGAUUGCCUCAGUAACGGCGAGUGAAGCGGCAACAGCUCAAAUUUGAAAUCUGGCUCCUUCGGGGCCCGAGUUGUAAUUUGCAGAGGAUGCGUCGGGUACGGGUGCCUUCCGAGUUCCCUGGAACGGGACGCCAUAGAGGGUGAGAGCCCCGUCUGGUAGGAUACCCAGCCCGUGUGACGCUCCCUCGACGAGUCGAGUAGUUUGGGAAUGCUGCUCUAACGGGAGGUAUACUCCUUCCAAGGCUAAAUACCGGCUGGAGACCGAUAGCGCACAAGUAGAGUGAUCGAAAGAUGAAAAGCACUUUGAAAAGAGAGUCAAACAGCACGUGAAAUUGUUAAAAGGGAAGCGCUCGCUACCAGACUUGGGUUCGGCGGUUCAACCGGGGCCACGCCCCGGGGCAUUCCGCCGGCCCAGGCCAGCAUCAGCUUUCCGUCGGGGGUAAAGGCGUCGGGAAUGUGGCUCCCCUUCGGGGGAGUGUUAUAGCCCGUCGUGUCAUACCCUUCGGGGGGCUGAGGUACGCGCUUCUGCAAGGAUGCUGGCGUAAUGGUAGCUAGUGACCCGUCUUGAAACACGGACCAAGGAGUCAACCUUAUGUGCGAGUGCCCGGGCGUAAAACCCCAGCGCGGAAUGAAAGUGAACGUAGGUGAGAGCUUCGGCGCAUCACCGACCGAUCCUGAUGUCCUCGGACGGAUUUGAGUGAGAGCAUAUAGGGUUGGACCCGAAAGAAGAUGAACUAUGCGUGUGUAGGGUGAAGCCAGAGGAAACUCUGGUGGAGGCUCGCAGCGGUUCUGACGUGCAAAUCGAUCGUCAAACAUGCGCAUGGGGGCGAAAGACUAAUC